rnacentral:rRNA from 1 species
ACAGCAGCCGCCGCGGUAAUACGGAGGGGGCUAGCGUUGUUCGGAAUUACUGGGCGUAAAGCGCACGUAGGCGGCUUGGUAAGUUAGAGGUGAAAGCCCGGAGCUCAACUCCGGAAUUGCCUUUAAGACUGCCGAGCUAGUAGGUGAGAGAGGUAAGUGGAAUUCCGAGUGUAGAGGUGAAAUUCGUAGAUAUUCGGAAGAACACCAGUGGCGAAGGCGGCUUACUGGCUCAUUCUAGACGCUGAGGUGCGAAAGCGUGGGGAGCAAACAGGAUUAGAGACCCCAGUAGUCCCUGUCUCUUAUAC